rnacentral:rRNA from 1 species
AUUCCAAUCGAACUCGGAGAUAGCUGGUUCUCCCCGAAAUAGCUUUAGGGCUAGCCUCAUAUUAGAUACCCGGAGGUAAAGCACUGAAUGGCCUAGCGCCCGAGAGGGUAGCGAAGCCUAUCAAACUAAGAAUGCCGGAGUAUUGAUGUAUGGGAGUCAGACAGUGUGAGAUAAAUCUCAUUGUCAAAAGGGAAACAGCCCAGAUCUACAGCUAAGGUCCCAAAUUGUAUCUAAGUGGAAAACGAUGUGGAAAUACGCAGACAACCAGGAUGUUGGCUCAGAAGCAGCCACUCAUUUAAAGAGUGCGUAAUAGCUCACUGGUCGAGCGUCUCUGCGCGGAAAAUUUAACGGGGCUAAGAUACAAACCGAAGCUUAGGCUGCAUCGUAAGAUGCGGGGUAGGGGAGCGUUGUGUAAGCGGAGAAACAGUAGCGUAAGCGGCUGUGGAGUUUACAGAAGUGAGAAUGCCGGAAUGAGUAGCGCGAAUGUGGUGAGAAUCCACAUGGCCGGAAACCUCAGGUUUUUGGAGGAAGGUUCGUCCGCUCCAAGUUAGGCGGGAGCUAAGGUCAGGCCGAAAGGCGUAGCCGAUGCACAGACGGUAGAGAUUCCGUCCCCACCGAAAGAUUUAAGCACAGGGACACUUUUUGAAGGUCGGAGCCAGGUGUUGGUUCUGGUAGUGAUCGAGGGAAAUAUAGUACCGAAGUCCGGCUGGAAAAGAGGCGAGAAAAGCUGUGUGUAUAUCUAAGGUGCCCGUACCGCAAACCGACACAGGUAGGUAGGAAGAAGAUUCUAAGGCCAACGGGAGAAGGGUUGUUAAGGAACUCGGCAAGUUGACCCCGUAACUUCGGAAUAAGGGGUGCUCACGAGAGUGAGCCGCAGAGAAUAGGCCCAGGCAACUGUUUACCAAAAACACAGGUUUGUGCUAAAUCGAAAGAUGACGUAUACGAGCUGACGCCUGCCCGGUGCUGGAAGGUUAAAAGGAGAUGUGCAAGCAUUGAAUUGAAGCCCCAGUGAACGGCGGCCGUAACUAUAACGGUCCUAAGGUAGCGAAAUUCCUUGUCAGGUAAGUUCUGACCCGCAUGAAAGGCGUAAUGAUCUGGGCACUGUCUCAACAGCCCGCCCGGCGAAAUUGUAGUACCGGUGAAGAUGCCGGUUACCCGCGACAAGACGGAAAGACCCCAUGGAGCUUUACUGUAGCCUGAUAUUGGGUUUCGGUGUUGCAUGCACAGGAUAGAUGGGACACUGGGAAGGCAGUGCUUUGGCAUUGCUGGAGUGGACGUUGGGAUACCAUCCUUGCGACAUUGGAAUUCUAACCUGCGCCUCUGAAUCGAGGCGGGGGACAUUGUCAGGUGGGCAGUUUGACUGGGGCGGUCGCCUCCUAAAAAGUAGCGGAGGCGUUCAAAGGUUCGUUCGAUCUGGACGGAAACCAGAUGAUUGAGUGCAAACGCAUAAACGAGCCUGACUGCGAGACUGACGGGUCGAGCAGAGACGAAAGUCGGAGUUAGUGAUCCGGUGGUAUGUGAGUGGAAAUGCCAUCGCUCAACGGAUAAAAGUUACCCUGGGGAUAACAGGCUGAUCUCCCCCAAGAGUCCACAUCGACGGGGAGGUUUGGCACCUCGAUGUCGGCUCAUCGCAUCCUGGGGCUGAAUUCGGUCCCAAGGGUUUGGCUGUUCGCCAAUUAAAGCGGUACGCGAGCUGGGUUCAGAACGUCGUGAGACAGUUCGGUCCCUAUCUGUCGUGGGCGCAGGAUAUUUGAAAGGCGCUGUCCCUAGUACGAGAGGACCGGGAUGGACGAACCUCUGGUGCACCAGUUGUCACGCCAGUGGCACAGCUGGGCAGCUAUGUUCGGAUCGGAUAAACGCUGAAAGCAUCUAAGCGUGAAGCCGGCCUUAAGAUAAGAUAUCCCACUGAGUCAAUCAGGUAAGACCCCUUGAAGACUACAAGGUUGAUAGGCACACAGUGUAAGCGGAGUGAUCCGUUCAGCUAGCGUGUACUAAUAGGUCGAGGGCUUGACCCC